rnacentral:rRNA from 1 species
GAUGAACGCUGGCGGCGUGCUUAACACAUGCAAGUCGAACGAUGAAGCCCAGCUUGCUGGUUGGAUUAGUGGCGAACGGGUGAGUAACACGUGAGUAACCUGCCCUUAACGCUGGGUUAAGCCUGGGAAACUGGGUCUAAUACCGGAUAGUAGCGCCUGCGGCAGGGUGGGUGUUGGAAAGAUUUAGCUGUUUUGGAUGGACUCGGGGCCUAUCAGCUUGUUGGUGAGGUAAUGGCUCACCAAGGCGACGACGGGUAUCCGGCCCGAGAGGGUGACCGGGCACACUGGGACUGAGACACGGACCAGACUGCUACGGGAGGCAGCAGUGGGGAAUAUUGCACAAUGGGCGCAAGCCUGAUGCAGCGACGCCGCGUGAGGGAUGACGGCCUUCGGGUUGUAAACCUCUUUAAGUAGGGAAGAAGCGAAAGUGACGGUACCUGCAGAAGAAGCACCGGCUAACUACGUG